GUGACGAAGCUUAUGGAAAAAAAGACCAAAGGCCUCGAGGGAUGUUCUUCUUGACCCCCCGGGGCAAACGGAGGUGUCAGCGUCAGGAGCCAUCCUAACUGAGGCCCUGGCUCCCUCCUUCCCUUCGGUCGCCGUGGGUGUGCCGGAC